rnacentral:lncRNA from 10 species
CGAACUGCUCCGCCAGCCGGGCCGCCGGGAUUGGUGUCCGGCAGAGCGUGAGCCCAGCGGGCUGGAGUCGGCGAGCGGGAGUGAAAGAAGAAAAGCUAGAGAGCGAAGGCAAAGCCCGAGGAGAGAGGGCCGCGGUCGGCGGAGGAAUCUGACUGCACGGUUGCGUGCGCUCACUCCCGGAGGGCUCCCUCAGGCGGGCGGCUCCGCUAGUGGCUAAAGGCAAAGCAUUCCGGGGCGCGGCGCAUGAAGUUGAGCUUCGUCCCUGCUAGCCGCCGCUUUCUCCCCAAAAAUACAUCCUAGCCUUAAUGUUUAUGCCUCCAUUGCCCCAGUUCUUAUCUGUUUUGCUCAAUGUCUCAUAGCUACAAGAAGGCAAUUUCUGACGAAGCCCUCCGUCCCUUCCAAAUGGAUUAUUUUGGCGGGCUUCCACCCGGACAGUAUGCCACCCGAAUGACUGGACAAGUGCACGGGAGCGGCUGUCAUUUGCGGAGUGCGCCUUGCGAUCUAGGCGCCUCACAGCGCAAAUUAUCCAGUAAUUUCUCUGAAAUCGAUGCUGGUUUGUUUUCCCAAGGCAAAUCAGCAGCUUAUACAGACAUUGGGGCCACAAAGCCGGUGGAACAACGGGAGACGGCUUCCUGAGUGUCAGGUCCUCCAAGAUGAGCUUAAACUUCGGGUGGUGGGCAGGCUCGGUAGGCGGGAAAGGCCCGUGUCCAGAUGAAUGCAGUCCAUGUUUAUAUUGAUGAAAGACACGUAUACCAUUUGGUCCAGCUCAACCAUUCUUAACAAGUGCUGGCUGUGAGCACUGGUGUGUGUGUGCCUGCGUGCAACCAGCAAUGUAAGUGAUGACCAGCUGCAUGAUGCCUUAAUUUGAGUGGACAAAGUCGGUCAAGAACCACUUUCAGGCUUCUGGGUCUCCAAGUCUUUGUCUCCCUGUAUCCAAACGAGGCAUUCCAAGUUUGACAGCAUGGAACAUUGCAUGUCCGAAAUACCAACCGUGAAACUGGGUAAAAAGCUUCAGGAGGUGAUAUUGAUGUGUAUAGUUUAGGAAAUAAAACCCAAUACUUACUUCAAAGAACGUAAUUUGUGGCUUUUUAGAGAGAAGGAUACUUUGACAGUUUUCAUUUGUCGUCUACAUGUAUAUGGUACGUUUCAUUCUGCCUUUUAAUUAAUUUGGUAUUUUACUAUGAAAACUACUUUGUAUUAAUAAAAUAAUGUAUUUCCAAUGUUAUAAGUUGUGUUAUAACAGUUUCAAAAGCCAAAUAAACAAGAUGCAUUUUGAUAUCAAUUGUUUAAAACGCGUAUUUUGAGGAAGAACAAAUUCAUACUCAAAAAAGUUAUCUUUGGGUGGAGUAUUGUGGAAAAUUUUUACUUUAUACAUUUCUAGGUUUCUGAAGUGACUGUAUUCAUUUUAUAAUUAUAGAAACAAGACGUUAAAUCCAGAAAACAAAACUUAAGCUUAACCAACUAGAAACUGUCAACCAACUUCUCACUAGGGACUUCCCAAUUUAACCAAAUAUUUUUAUUUGUUUUGUGUCUGCAAACAUCUUACAAAAGUUUUCCCUUUUUGCCUCCACAGUGGAGCACUGAACUGCUUGUGGUCUAGUGCUGACUGAUUCAUGAAUCACUGGAUGCUCAAAUAAACUCUAAAUUAAAAAAGACAUUAAAUGAAAGAAAAAGUUAAGAAAAUAGAAAUGCUUUCCAUUUUUUAACAAAUGCUUAAACGGAAGGAAGGAUGCAUGCAGAGGUUAAGUAAG